rnacentral:rRNA from 1 species
UACGAAGGGGGCUAGCGUUGUUCGGAUUUACUGGGCGUAAAGCGCACGUAGGCGGAUCGAUCAGUCAGGGGUGAAAUCCCGGAGCUCAACUCCGGAACUGCCUCUGAAACUGCAGUGCUAGAAUUCUGGAGAGGCGAGUGGAAUUCCGAGUGUAGAGGUGAAAUUCGUAGAUAUUCGGAAGAACACCAGUGGCGAAGGCGACUCGCUGGACAGACAUUGACGCUGAGGUGCGAAAGCGUGGGGGGCAAACAGG